rnacentral:lncRNA from 1 species
AAGAAGCAACUAAAAGUGAAGAAAUCCCGAGAGAAAGGGAAAACGAAAAAGACUAAUUGAUGGCAUUCUCAUGGAGCUCUUCUCGGAUGUUGUGAAAAAUGGUACGGAAGCUAUGGAUUGAAAUGGGCAAGAUCCUCCUAGGAGUUAUGGUGAUCUUGAAGGUGCAUGAUGAGUAUGGAAAAAGGGAGGUUCGGCCGGCCCUUUGAUAGAUGGUGAAGAUGAAGAUUAGGUCCUAGAAACUAGGCAAAAGCAAUGUAUGGCACAAUGUGGGUAGCAUAACAUUACUCUCAUUAAUCUUGCAAAUACAAGUGAUGGGCUUCUCCUUUAAUAGGCUAAGGAGGCCGUAAAUCCUAAGCUAAGAGAAGAUGAAAUGCUACCUAAAUGAAAUGGAAAUUACUCCACAUGGAGCACAUGGGCACAUGGUCGGC